rnacentral:piRNA from 1 species
UCUCCUUCAUGAUCUGUAGGGCAGGGCCAAG